AGGUACCGAAUCAAACUUCAGAACCAUCAUUUGAUAGUAGCAAGGCUUUUACAGGCUCCAUCAUAGAGCAUGCUGAGAAUGUUCAAACAACUUCAAGAGAACAAAGAUCAACUUCCUUACAGGUUCCUGAUUCUCAAUAUUCAAAACCAGUCUCCAGAUUCAAAAUGCAGAGAAGAUAGCUACAAUAAUAUGAGAAGGUUGUUUGAAGCUUUUCUUAUUGGACAAUCUAAUGGUGGUGGCAUCCAUUAUGGUUCAAGGAUGUGCUUGUUAGAAUCAAAAGCAGAAAAAGUAAAA